GAAUUCCAGUGGCGGGCUCGCCGCGAAACCGAGCGUAGUAGUAUUACCCUCGCUCAGGACGUCGCGGCGGGCGCCGGCCGUGAAAGAGAACGUGUUUACAACACAGUACAGGUUGACCUCGGAUCAGGUAGGAAUACCCGCUGAACUUAAGCAUAUCAAUAAGCGGAGGAAAAGAAACCAACAGGGAUUGCCCUAGUAACGGCGAGUGAAGCGGCAACAGCUCAAAUUUGAAAUCUGGCCUCGGCCCGAGUUGUAAUUUGCAGAGGAUGCUUUUGGCGCGGCGCCUCCCGAGUCCCCUGGAACGGGGCGCCACAGAGGGUGAGAGCCCCGUAUGGUAGGACGCCUAGCCUGUGUAAAGCUCCUUCGACGAGUCGAGUAGUUUGGGAAUGCUGCUCAAAAUGGGAGGUAAAUUCCUUCUAAAGCUAAAUACCGGCCAGAGACCGAUAGCGCACAAGUAGAGUGAUCGAAAGAUGAAAAGCACUUUGAAAAGAGGGUCAAACAGCACGUGAAAUUGUUGAAAGGGAAGCGCUCGUGACCAGACUUGCGCCGGGUCGAUCAUCCGGUGUUCUCACCGGUGCACUCGGCCCGGCUCAGGCCAGCAUCGGUUUUCGCGGGGGGAUAAAAGCCCGGGGAACGUGGCUCUUCCGGGAGUGUUAUAGCCCCGGGCACAAUACCCUCGCGGGACCGAGGACCGC
rnacentral:rRNA from 1 species